rnacentral:rRNA from 1 species
GACGAACGCUGGCGGCGUGCUUAACACAUGCAAGUCGAGCGGAAAGGCCCUGCUUUUGUGGGGUGCUCGAGUGGCGAACGGGUGAGUAACACGUGAGUAACCUGCCCUUGACUUUGGGAUAACUUCAGGAAACUGGGGCUAAUACCGGAUAGGAGCUCCUGCUGCAUGGUGUGGGUUGGAAAGUUUCGGCGGUUGGGGAUGGACUCGCGGCUUAUCAGCUUGUUGGUGAGGUAGUGGCUUACCAAGGCUUUGACGGGUAGCCGGCCUGAGAGGGUGACCGGCCACAUUGGGACUGAGAUACGGCCCAGACUCCUACGGGAGGCAGCAGUGGGGAAUAUUGCACGAUGGGCGGAAGCCUGAUGCAGCAACGCCGCGUGCGGGAUGACGGCCUUCGGGUUGUAAACCGCUUUCGCCUGUGACGAAGCGUGAGUGACGGUAAUGGGUAAAGAAGCACCGGCUAACUACGUG